rnacentral:rRNA from 1 species
UACGUAGGGGGCAAGCGUUGUCCGGAUUUAUUGGGCGUAAAGAGCGUGUAGGCGGCCAGGGAGGUCCGUUGUGAAAACUCGAGGCUCAACCUCGAGACGCCGAUGGAAACCCCCUGGCUAGAGUCCGGAAGAGGAGAGUGGAAUUCCUGGUGUAGCGGUGAAAUGCGUAGAUAUCAGGAGGAACACCUGUGGCGAAAGCGGCUCACUGGACCAUAACUGACGCUGAUGCACGAAAGCUAGGGGAGCAAACAGG